rnacentral:rRNA from 1 species
UACGUAGGGUGCGAGCGUUAUUCGGAAUUACUGGGCGUAAAGCGUGCGCAGGCGGUUCGUGAUGUCUGAUGUGAAAGCCCCGGGCUCAACCUGGGAAUGGCAUUGGAAACUAGCGGGCUGGAGUGUGGCAGAGGGGGGUGGAAUUCCACGUGUAGCAGUGAAAUGCGUAGAGAUGUGGAGGAACACCGAUGGCGAAGGCAGCCCCCUGGGUCAAAACUGACGCUCAUGCACGAAAGCGUGGGGAGCAAACAGG